CCUACGGGUGGCAGCAGUGAGGAAUAUUGGUCAAUGGACGGAAGUCUGAACCAGCCAUGCCGCGUGCAGGAUGACGGCUCUAUGAGUUGUAAACUGCUUUUGUAUUAGGGUAAACCCCCCUACGUGUAGGUGCUUGAAUGUAUAAUACGAAUAAGGAUCGGCUAACUCCGUGCCAGCAGCCGCGGUAAUACGGAGGAUCCAAGCGUUAUCCGGAUUUAUUGGGUUUAAAGGGUGCGUAGGCGGUUUGAUACGUUAGAUGUGAAAUAUCGGGGCUCAACCCCGGAACUGCCUCUAAUACUGUUGAACUAGAGAGUAGGUGAGGUAGGCGGAAUGUAUGGUGUAGCGGUGAAAUGCUUAGAGAUCACACAGAACACCGAUUGCGAAGGCAGCUUACCAAACUAUAUCUGACGUUGAGGCACGAAAGCGUGGGUAGCAAACAGGAUUAGAUACCCUGGUAGUC
rnacentral:rRNA from 1 species